UGAAAAUGGCAGAGACAAGAUACCAAUGG
rnacentral:piRNA from 1 species